CCAAAAACUCUUGCGGCAUCGAAGGACAGAGCAAGCCAAUCGCAUUCGCAGUGUCACUGAGUUUCUUCCCUGUUCCAAUCCAGCCCGCUAGAGUGAAAUUGCUCGCGAUUAUUCUUUACUCGUUCGUUAUGUUUUUGCUCUAAUAAUUAAAUGCGGAGGAUGGAAGAUAAACUACUGCGACACUUUACAUCGCGUAAUUGAAGGGUAGAAAAAAAAAUCUUCACAUGCUUUGCGCUACACAUGUUCUGGGUCUGGCGCAGAGUGACGCAGAUCUUAUUUCUGUCCCUUCCUGCCUGUGUGACGAGAGUAGGAGGCGGCAGGUCCGUCGCUUUAAGUUUAGAAACACUGUUUUUAGUCACUGGGCUAAUUGGGAGACAGCAGACAGACAUAAUGGCUGGUGGAGGAAGCGAGGGUUCUAACCAGAGCGAACGUGACAGGCAAUACUGCGAACUGUGUGGCAAGAUGGAAGACUUGAUGCGAUGCGGUCGCUGCCGGAGCUCGUUUUAUUGCAGUAAAGAACACCAGCGGCAAGACUGGAAGAAACACAAAUUAUUCUGCAAAAUCGAGUCUACGAUUGCUCCGGCUUCUCAGAACACUGUCACAGUUAACAGUAAGACAGAACAGUUCUCUUCUCCUUCCGACGUUAUCUCCUCUGGCAAUACAAUUCCGAAUCCCUCCUGCGAGGCUUCUGGUGUUGCUACAGAGUCAUUACCCUCUCCGACUCCAAGUGAUACUUCUCAGCUUAAAAAAUUUACAGAUGAGCGAGAGGAGUUGGUUGGAGGGGCUGCAUUAAGAGCAAUCAACGAAGAAGAUUACACUCAGGCUGUGGGCAGCAGUACAUCGAGGAAAGUAACGUCGGGCGGAAGGCCUAAUGGUCAGACUAAACCACCGCUACAUAGGAUAGCAUUGGAGUACAUCAUUCCCUGUAUGAACAAACACGGCAUCUUUGUGCUUGAUGACUUCUUGGGCCAAGAGACCGGAGACAGAAUUGAGUGUGAAGUGAAAGUUUUGCACAACACAGGGCGCUUUACUGACGGACAACUUGUGAGCCAGAAGAGUGACUCAACUCGUGAUAUCCGUGGUGACCAGAUUACCUGGGUGGAAGGGAAAGAGCUAGGCUGCAAAGCAAUUGGUAACCUUAUGAAUAAAAUGGAUGACCUUAUCCGACACUGCAGUGGUAAACUGGGUAACUUCACGAUUAAUGGUAGAACUAAGAAAUUUGUAUUCCACUCUCCCCAAAAAGGAUAUCUCUGCAUACCCAGCCUCAGUACUGGUGUCUUCCUCUGCUGCUUCAGAGGAUUUCUGAGGACCUCAGUGACGAUAGCAUUGGUGAUUGCUGACUGAACAAUGAAAGCACCUUAGACAGGAGCUUCAAAGGCAAGGUGACUCCAGACAGCAGCAGGUUUAUUCAAGAGGAUGUUUUUUUCUUGAGAUUGAUUGACACCGUGUCAACACAGAAAUUUAGCUGUGGUUGUUGGUGCACUCUAUUUAAUAAGGUUACACGCCUUGAUCCUGCACCCAAGCAUAUUACCUGAUUAAAUGGAAUGAACACUUUUGGCUGUUAUAUACUGACCCAUUGUUCCAGUAUAUCAGUAUGUACCCUUCUUCAUGAGAAACUACAAGAAAUAGUUCAUUUUGCUGUUAAGUUGACUUUCUGAUAAUGCUCCCCCCCCAAAUUGUUUUUAAAAAAAUGUAUAUAUGUCCUUAAGUGCCUGCACUCCCAAUCAAGCAAUUGCGGGUAAAAUAUUAAGCAUACAGUUCUGUAUUGAAAUAAACAAUUCCUGGACCAGUACUCCCUUUGUGAUGCAGUGUUUAUUAUUUAUAAACCUAAAAGAAAUCCGACGUUUCAGUCUUCAUUAGGACAUUUUUAAAGGAUCUCCUUCAUAAAACCAUGCUAAUUAUUACUUAUAAUGUGAACAGAAUUUAGAAUCUGAUCUCUUCACAAACUAUAAAUAUUUUGCCCACCACAGAUGACAAACUUAAAGGCCAGGCUGAAAUCGCAAUACUUUUUGUACCAUACCAGAUGAAAGCCAAGUUUGAAAAAAAAAAAAAAAAAAAAAAAUGCCUUGCUUGAAACUGAACUAAUCCUUCAUAGCCGUAUUCUCCCACAGCUGCUAGCCAAUAAAAUAAUCUUUUCAUCUGCAUUAAAGGGACCAUCCAGAAAUCGUCAGACUCAUUGUAUAGAACUUGUAGAAUUGUUAAUUUAACCCUUGUUUUUGUUACACUUUUCUCCUCUUUUGGCCCCACAAUUUGGUUAGAAAUGGACAUUCUUCCUUCUCUCUUUCUCCCUUCCACCUUUUUUAAUAUGGACACCAAAUACUUACAAAUCUAUUGUUAUUAUUUUUUGUCUAUCCUAAACAAGAAAAGAAAAUAUAAAUUGUGAUAUUAAUUCACUGUUCAACUAUCUAUCAAUACAUCCUGCUUUAAAGGAGGGGGCUGAACUAAGCUCUUUAAGUACUCAUGGGUGUAUUCUAUUUAGCCCUGGUGCCUUGUUUGCAAGCAUAUUUUGGGCAAAAUAGUAUUGUUUUCCUCAAAUCUGAGUGCAGGCUCUUUUCCUGUCAUUGGUGCCAUUUAAACCUCCUCCAGGUAUCUACUUAACAAAAGACUAAUAAUGGGAAUCCAUAAAGUUAUUUAUUUGACAGUGUGAUUAGUGGUUAAUAUUCUAGGUAAAUACCAAAAUAAAACAUUGCAAAAUAAACAGUUUUUGGGUUAAAAAAUAGUCGAUGGUAGAAAAAAAAAAAAGUAUUAAACUGUACACAUAAAAGUGUCUGUGUGUGAGUGUGCAAAUAUGUACAAAACAGUGGUAGUGUGUGGGGUUGUGUGUAAAAUGUGCAUCUUCCCUAGGGCUGCUGGUAUUGGCCCUUUCUGUAGCAUAGUGCACAGCAGGAAGUCUGGGAUAAAACAAGGGAGCGUUGAGCUGUUUGCUGGUUCAUCCUGUUAUCUUGGUGCAUAACAAAUGUAACGACUUCUAUGGUCUUGCAAAAAAAAAAAAGAGCCUUUAUUGUAGGGAGAAAUGUUAACUGACAA